AUAAAAAGAAAAGAAAAAGAAAUUUACCUCUCUCUCUCGCGCGCACACAACCCCUCUCUCAUUUUUCUUUUCUUCUCCUUCCGGUACCCUAGCAGCCGCCCACCCAUUUUCCCUAUUCUUCUUCCCGUCCUGCCGCAGCCAACCGCAGUCAGCCGCCCCAUCCGUUCGCACAGCAACUGCCGUCGGCCAUCUCCAUCUUCUCUUUUCCUCUCCGUUCCGUCCAAACCCAGCCGGACGUCGCUGCAACCGUCGGCCGCCAUCUCUGUUCGCGAAGCAAGGCCGCCGCGUGAACCUGUAACCGCCGGCUGUCUCCCCUCUCCUUUCUCCUCUGUUUUCAGCCCAGCCGCCGCCGAUUUCUUCUCCUCCGUCGUCUGCACUGCCGCGCGACUCUCCGGCCAUCUGUAUACGGUCUUUCCGCCGCACGUCAUCUCUUCGCAAAGCCACUGCUCGAUUUCUUUCGCGAAGAUUUGGGUUCGUUCUUCAUAGACUUCAACGUGGUUAAGGAGCUUAACAAAUUUGAAGGAAUUAUGCCGCCAAGGGAAGAAGUACGUAGAGGAGGUCGUAGAGGCCGAGGUAGAGGAGCAGGAGGCCGAGGUAGAGGAGUAGGUCGUAAUCAGCCUACUGAGGGUCAAGCUGAACAGCGAAUUCCUGCUG